UGCAGUCGAGCGGUUGACGGGAGCUUGCUCCCUGAUUCAGCGGCGGACGGGUGAGUAAUGCCUAGGAAUCUGCCUAUUAGUGGGGGACAACGUUUCGAAAGGAACGCUAAUACCGCAUACGUCCUACGGGAGAAAGCAGGGGACCUUCGGGCCUUGCGCUAAUAGAUGAGCCUAGGUCGGAUUAGCUAGUUGGUGAGGUAAUGGCUCACCAAGGCGACGAUCCGUAACUGGUCUGAGAGGAUGAUCAGUCACACUGGAACUGAGACACGGUCCAGACUCCUACGGGAGGCAGCAGUGGGGAAUAUUGGACAAUGGGCGAAAGCCUGAUCCAGCCAUGCCGCGUGUGUGAAGAAGGUCUUCGGAUUGUAAAGCACUUUAAGUUGGGAGGAAGGGUUGUAGAUUAAUACUCUGCAAUUUUGACGUUACCGACAGAAUAAGCACCGGCUAACUCUGUGCCAGCAGCCGCGGUAAUACAGAGGGUGCAAGCGUUAAUCGGAAUUACUGGGCGUAAAGCGCGCGUAGGUGGUUUGUUAAGUUGGAUGUGAAAGCCCCGGGCUCAACCUGGGAACUGCAUCCAAAACUGGCAAGCUAGAGUACGGUAGAGGGUGGUGGAAUUUCCUGUGUAGCGGUGAAAUGCGUAGAUAUAGGAAGGAACACCAGUGGCGAAGGCGACCACCUGGACUGAUACUGACACUGAGGUGCGAAAGCGUGGGGAGCAAACAGGAUUAGAUACCCUGGUAGUCCACGCCGUAAACGAUGUCAACUAGCCGUUGGAAUCCUUGAGAUUUUAGUGGCGCAGCUAACGCAUUAAGUUGACCGCCUGGGGAGUACGGCCGCAAGGUUAAACUCAAAUGAAUUGACGGGGGCCCGCACAAGCGGUGGAGCAUGUGGUUAAUUCGAAGCACGCGAAGACCUUACCUGGCCUUGAC
rnacentral:rRNA from 1 species